rnacentral:rRNA from 1 species
UACGUAGGGUGCGAGCGUUGUCCGGAAUUACUGGGCGUAAAGAGCUCGUAGGUGGUUUGUCGCGUUGUUCGUGAAAACCGGGGGCUUAACCCUCGGCGUGCGGGCGAUACGGGCAGACUGGAGUACUGCAGGGGAGACUGGAAUUCCUGGUGUAGCGGUGGAAUGCGCAGAUAUCAGGAGGAACACCCGUGGCGAAGGCGGCUCUCUGGAACGCAACUGACGCUGAGACGCGAAAGCGUGGGGAGCAAACAGG